UUGACUGAAAUUUGUAUGCAGUUGGAGCAGCGCCCCUAGCGGCAAACGAAGGCAAACGUUCCAAUUCCAUACAAAUUUGAGUUA
rnacentral:pre_miRNA from 1 species